rnacentral:rRNA from 1 species
ACGGAAGGCAGCAGUGGGGAAUAUUGGGCAAUGGGGGAAACCCUGACCCAGCAACGCCGCGUGAAGGAAGAAGGCUUUCGGGUUGUAAACUUCUUUUAUCAGGGAAGAUAAUGACGGUACCUGAUGAAUAAGCCACGGCUAACUACGUGCCAGCAGCCGCGGUAAUACGUAGGUGGCAAGCGUUGUCCGGAUUUACUGGGUGUAAAGGGCGCGUAGGCGGAGCGGCAAGUCAGAUGUGAAAUCUAUGGGCUUAACCCAUAAACUGCAUUUGAAACUGUUCUUCUUGAGUGCUGGAGGGGCAAUCGGAAUUCCUUGUGUAGCGGUGAAAUGCGUAGAUAUAAGGAGGAACACCAGUGGCGAAGGCGGAUUGCUGGACAGUAACUGACGGUGAGGCGCGAAAGUGUGGGGAGCAAACAGGAUUAGAUACCCUGGUA